rnacentral:rRNA from 1 species
ACUUAAGCAUAUCAAUAAGCGGAGGAAAAGAAACCAACAGGGAUUGCCCUAGUAACGGCGAGUGAAGCGGCAAAAGCUCAAAUUUGAAAUCUGGUGCCUUUGGCAUCCGAGUUGUAAUUUGGAGAGGCAUCUUCCGGAGGGUUCCAGUCUAUCUUCCUUGGAACAGGACGUCAUAGAGGGUGAGAAUCCCGUUCAUGGCUGGAUAUACCCUUCAGUAGGUAGUGCUUUCUACGAGUCGAGUUGUUUGGGAAUGCAGCUCAAAAUGGGUGGUAAAUUUCAUCUAAAGCUAAAUAUAGGCGAGAGACCGAUAGCGCACAAGUAGAGUGAUCGAAAGAUGAAAAGCACUUUGAAAAUAGAGUCAAACAGUACGUGAAAUUGUUGAAAGGGAAGCGCUUGAGACCAGACUUGGCCUUGGGUAAAUAGCCUCCCCUCGUGGGUUGCCAACUUGCCCUUGGCUGGGCCAGCAUCAGUCAGGACGGUGGAAUAAAGGCCUAGGGAAUGUGACUCCACUUAGGAGUGUUAUAGCCCUGGGUGCCAUCUCGCCUGUCCUGACUGUGGACCGCGCUUCGGCUAGGAUGCUGGCAUAAUGGUCUUUAGCGGCCCGUCUUGAAACACGGACCAAGGAGUCUAACAUCUAUGCAAGUGUUUGGGCUACAAACCCUCACGCGUAAUAAAAGUGAACGGAGGUGGGAACCCUGUAAGGGGCGCACCAUCGACCGAUCCUGAUGUCUUCGGAUGGAUUUGAGUAGGAGCAUAGCUGUUGGGACCCGAAAGAUGGUGAACUAUGCCUGAAUAGGGUGAAGCCAGAGGAAACUCUGGUGGAGGCUCGCAGCGGUUCUGACGUGCAAAUCGAUCGUCAAAUUUGGGUAUAGGGGCGAAAGACUAAUCGAACCAUCUAGUAGCUGGUUCCUGCCGAAGUUUCCCUCAGGA